rnacentral:rRNA from 1 species
UACGGAGGGAGCUAGCGUUGUUCGGAAUUACUGGGCGUAAAGCGCGCGUAGGCGGCUUUGUAAGUUAGAGGUGAAGGCCCGGGGCUCAACCCCGGAAUUGCCUUUAAGACUGCAUCGCUUGAAUCCGGGAGAGGUGAGUGGAAUUCCGAGUGUAGAGGUGAAAUUCGUAGAUAUUCGCAAGAACACCAGUGGCGAAGGCGGCUCACUGGCCCGAUACUGACGCUGAGGCACGAAAGCGUGGGGAGCAAACAGG